rnacentral:tRNA from 1 species
UCUCUGUUAGUAUAUCGGUUAGUACACGCGCCUGUCACGCGCGAAAGCUGAGUUCGACUCCCAGACAGAGAG